UUAGGUUUUCAUAGAUGGAACUAUUACUAAUUCAUCCAACUCUUUCUAGUUCACAAGGAGAAGACAGAGAAGUGAAAAGACCUCAUUCCAGCAGGAUAGCUGGGAAUACAAGCAAGUAUCACAAGUCCCAGAUUAUUCUUUGUCCUUGGAGCUUUGAGCAGUCCCACGUGAAUACCUAUCAGUUACUUCUGCUGCUUUGCUGACAUGAGUGUUGCAGUAUGCAGAAUGGAAGAGUCAGCAAUGCUUGGACCUUGAUUAUGAGAAGACCCUCCCUCUGCUACUUAAAACCUCCCUUGCAAACACUGGAGGGGAGGGGAAACACAUGGUGGAGCUGAUAUAUUAAUACACAUACAAUAGCACCAAUUGCCUGCAGGAGUAAAAAACCCUGAACACCUAACUUGAGAACAAAAUUAAUUUUAAAAUGUAGGUCAUAUGCUAAUGCAGCUCCCAGCGUAACCUGUGUAGCACCACCAAGCACAACAUAGGAGUGAACUGUGCCUUCCUGGUUUUCUUGUUUGCUCUUUUUGCUGUUUUCUGUUUGUAUGCAGCUAAAUCAGUUGUCAGAACCAUUGACCACAUUAAAGAGAGGAUUCCUUCAUCUAA